rnacentral:rRNA from 1 species
UACGUAGGGUGCAAGCGUUAAUCGGAAUUACUGGGCGUAAAGCGUGCGCAGGCGGUUUUGUAAGGCUGACGUGAAAUCCCCGGGCUCAACCUGGGAAUUGCAAUGGAUACUGGCAGGCUGGAGUAUGGUAGAGGAAGGUGGAAUUCCCGGUGUAGCAGUGAAAUGCGUAGAGAUCGGGAGGAACACCAGUGGCGAAGGCGGCCUUCUGGACCAAUACUGACGCUCAUGCACGAAAGCGUGGGGAGCAAACAGG